rnacentral:lncRNA from 1 species
AAUUAGUUAAUGCUUAAUGCCUUAUUUCAUUUCAUUAUUAAUAUCUUAGAGUACAAAUCCAUAAUAUCAAGAAUGUAAAAUUAAAAAAAGAAAAACGUUAAAAAAACAUUAAAAAAUAUAGUUAUUGGGUGGCAACAUGAAACAUAAAUGAAAAUCAUAUAAUAUUAAAUAUUAUAGCAUUAUUUUUUCUUGCAUGGUUCUUUUGGGUGUGCUAUUCUUCAAGAGAUGGAUCCACUUUAAUAGCUUCACAUAAAUUUUUAAUACACUUAUAAACUAAAGGAUACAAGUGACGAAUUGCUGGGCAAUCAGCAUCAGUUACACAUUUAAUUCGUAUUUCUGUAAAAGUAAAAUAAAAUAAUACUAUUAAAAUAAGAUAAAAUAUUAUAUAUUAUCUAAAUUAAAGAAAUAAAUAUAUAAAAAAGAAAAUGGUUUACCUUCCGUCUCCUUUGAAAGAAGGAUUAGGGAAAAAAAUAAAAUUAUAGCAGAAAGAAACUUAAGAGUUUUAGUCAUAUUUUUCUCUUUUUGCAUGUAAUAAAAAGGCUACAAUUUGAUCACUUUAUAGUGUGUGAAGCUCAUGCAAUUAUGAAAAUAUUUAAAUAUCUUUAGAGUUUAUGUAAUUCAAUGUUUUGUAUUUGUCCCUUUGACAAACUUAAAUGUAUUUUGUUAGGAAAAAUUUUAAUUGUUAAAAC